CCUACGGGAGGCAGCAGUGAGGAAUAUUGGUCAAUGGGCUUACGCCUGAACCAGCCAAGUCGCGUGAGGGAAGACUGCCCUAUGGGUUGUAAACCUCUUUUAUAUGGGAAUAAAACAGGGUAUGCAUACCCUCUUGUAUGUACCAUAUGAAUAAGGAUCGGCUAACUCCGUGCCAGCAGCCGCGGUAAUACGGAGGAUCCGAGCGUUAUCCGGAUUUAUUGGGUUUAAAGGGAGCGUAGGUGGAUUGUUAAGUCAGUUGUGAAAGUUUGCGGCUCAACCGUAAAAUUGCAGUUGAAACUGGCAGUCUUGAGUACAGUAGAGGUGGGCGGAAUUCGUGGUGUAGCGGUGAAAUGCUUAGAUAUCACGAAGAACUCCGAUUGCGAAGGCAGCAUACCGGCGCCCAACUGACGCUGAGGCACGAAAGCGUGGGUAUCGAACAGGAUUAGAUACCCGAGUAGUC
rnacentral:rRNA from 1 species